UUGAGUGGAUAGUAAUUCUUUGUUUACGUUUCGAUGUUCAUUCAUUUUUUUGGCGCAGGAAGCAAGAUGAAAGUGGUGAACCUUCUUCCAAGCAAAAUGAUGGUGUUAGUUUGUAUCAAAAGACUUUGAAGCACUCAGUCAGCAAGUUAAAUAGAUGCACGAGGUUUUCGUGCAAAUCUCAGUUUAGGCUCAUUCAGCUUUGGGCAGCUGAUGAACACGAACGUAUUUUUUUUUUCGUCUGCUUGUUGUAAAAAUGACCGAGGAACAACCACGUGGUGGUACAGAAAUAGAGAAUCAUUUACAGCAGAUUUUAAUUGAACUGCGACACCAGAGAUAGGGAGUUUCAUCUUUACGAGAAGAAGUUCAGGGAAACAAUUAUACUGUAAAUUCUGAGGUGAAAAAGCUAAAAAUUGCUAAAGACUUAGUUUGGAAAUUUCAUGGAAAUAGAGUUAAAUUUGACUUCAACGCGGAGUUGGAAGAUAUCACUAAACAGGCCAGCUGGGCUUUGGAGCACAGUAAAUUUGACUACUGUAUGGAACCGUUGAAAAACGUUACAGAAUCAAAACACUAAAAGUGCUGAUGGACGGUGACACUGUUCGGUCUGCUGCAAGUAUAGAACUAAGUCCUUUCUCUUAUAAAAACAGAAAAUCAUCGGAACCUAAUCUUGAAUAUAGAAGCAUAAUUUAAACACUCUUAGGUGAGGACAAUUGGACAAUGCUUCAAACCAAAUAUCUAAGCUUGAUUUUUAUUUUCCAAACAUAAUUAUUCAUCUUAAUGCUGUAGCUUUGAAAAGUUGAUGAAAAGGUCACCUGGCAAUAUCAUCGUUAAUGUUUGUUUGCAGAACUACUUCAUGGUCAAAAUUUCAUUCCAGUUGCAUAACAAAUACGCCAAAAGGACACAAUCAAGAUAACUGAAGCAUAACAUUAACAGAUUUUUUUUAAAACAAUACACAUGGUCCAAAGUUCAAUGUUGUGAAGCAUUGCCAAAAAAUGUCAAAAUCCUGUCUACAUUCUAGUAUUUUUAUUUUUUAUUUUUUCAUUGAGUAAGACCCUUUUGGGCGAUUUUAACACUGUAAAUAUCUGUAAAGCUAUAUACAUGUAUACAAUAUUGAUAUCCCCAGCAUGCACAAUUAAGUUAUGCAUUAUCUUUUACCAUUGUUAAUUUUAACAUACAAAAAAAUACUGUAAUUUACACUUACCUGAAAAAUGUGUAGUCAAUGAUAGAGAAUAAUAAGUGGCAGAUUUCAAAUCAAGGCAUUUAAGGCUCACCAGGGGCUUAGCACCAUCCAGAUAAUACAGAUAGGCUAGCUCCGUGUCCUAAUGCCAGGAUCAUUUAUAAUAGUAACUUUAUCUUGUUGAAAAGUUUAAUACUUGACUAGUCCAAAUAAACAGCAACUUCAGAGUC